UCUGCCUGGUAAUGGGGGAUAACGUCCGGAAACGGGCGCUAAUACCGCAUACGUCCUGAGGGAGAAAGUGGGGGAUCUUCGGACCUCACGCUAUCAGAUGAGCCUAGGUCGGAUUAGCUAGUUGGUGGGGUAAAGGCCUACCAAGGCGACGAUCCGUAACUGGUCUGAGAGGAUGAUCAGUCACACUGGAACUGAGACACGGUCCAGACUCCUACGGGAGGCAGCAGUGGGGAAUAUUGGACAAUGGGCGAAAGCCUGAUCCAGCCAUGCCGCGUGUGUGAAGAAGGUCUUCGGAUUGUAAAGCACUUUAAGUUGGGAGGAAGGGCAGUAAGUUAAUACCUUGCUGUUUUGACGUUACCAACAGAAUAAGCACCGGCUAACUUCGUGCCAGCAGCCGCGGUAAUACGAAGGGUGCAAGCGUUAAUCGGAAUUACUGGGCGUAAAGCGCGCGUAGGUGGUUCAGCAAGUUGGAUGUGAAAUCCCCGGGCUCAACCUGGGAACUGCAUCCAAAACUACUGAGCUAGAGUACGGUAGAGGGUGGUGGAAUUUCCUGUGUAGCGGUGAAAUGCGUAGAUAUAGGAAGGAACACCAGUGGCGAAGGCGACCACCUGGACUGAUACUGACACUGAGGUGCGAAAGCGUGGGGAGCAAACAGGAUUA
rnacentral:rRNA from 1 species